GUGUGACUAACCCACAGAACUCGAUGGUCUGCUAAGAUGUUAAUGACAUAGAGUCUCCUGUUUGAAUGAACCUCAACUUGCUGCAUCAUGACAGUGUGUCUAUGUGCAGGAGUGGAGAGACCAGUUGGAGCCGGGACCUGCUGCAAUUCAUCUUCAACGGGUGUACUUAAGCCGGUCCCGAACACCACCAGAUCGUCUUGAGUAGUCGUACUGUGAGUCGCAUCGAGCUCGCAAAACUAUUGUUGAGCCACAGAGGUAGUUCCUCCACACGUCGGCUUCAGCUCUCAGCCACGCUGUGUUGGAAGGACCAGUUCUGAGACCUAUCCGCUCUGGUUGACAGCGGGGCGGAUGACAAUUUUAUUGAUAGGGACCUGGUGAGACAAAUGGGAAUAGGGACUUGACCGUUGGCCAAGCCCUUGAAGACCACUGCACUUAACGGACAGUUGCUAUCCCACAUGGACCAACAGACCCUACCCGUAUCCCUUCUUCUCUCCUUCUUUUUUUAUUUUUGACUGCCCUCACACACCCCUGGUACUUGGGUUGCCCUGGCUUAAGUUACACAUGGAUUGGACACACCUGUGACUAACCACCUGGAGCACGUUUUGUCAUACUAAUUGUCUAAAAUCUGCUCUCGUAACUGCCACUCAUGCCGAAGAACUGAACAAGCCUGACCUCACCUCGGUUCCAGAGUUUUAAGAAAUACUGAUCAGCUUUUUCCCUCUUGUCACCCAGAGAGUCCUCGCCUGCACAACUGCCUGCCUGAAGAGUUCCCCCACGCCUGCUUCCUCGCCCGCGGUCCUUUUACGACUGCAACCGUGCCUGCACGUCUGCCUGCCCGUGGAUCUCUUUGUCUGGCCGAAACGGACCACCCGAAGUCCCUGCUCCCCCUACCUGGGUGCUGUUUCCCCUGUUUGGCUGUUGCAAGGAAAUAAAUGCUCUAGAAGUUUACUUGCUUGCUUGUCUGUGCUGUUGGGUCCUCUGCCGCGUCCCAAACUGUAACAGAUUUACUAGGACUAAUUGCUUCCAGGCUUCACAGUUUAAACUGCAAGCUAUCAGUUACACAUGGGAAUCGAACAGCGAGAGAAUUCAAGAUCAACGAAUCCAUGAUUCGCAAGUGGAGGAAGCAGGAAAACGAGCUUUGCCAAGUCAAGACGAAGCACCGGGCGAGUUACGCCAGCAUAUGUGAAUGGAUUGUGGAAGCCUGGGCUAAGGUAUCUGCUUUGACUGUUGUUCGAGGUUUCGCGAAAGCCGGCAUCAUUGCUGAACAGCCCCCGGCAACGAGACUGACUCCGACAAUGUCGAGAGGGAACCCGGCAUGUCUGAUGGAGAACUUGCCCAGCUGUUCAUUUAGGAUACAGAAGAUGAGGACUUUGAUGGAUUUGUGGAUGAGGGUUGAUCAAAAAAUAACGGACCGCCUGCUGAGCCUUCCUUCUGCAGGUCGUCCAGGUAGAAAUCAUUCUGCCGGUUGCCCAGGACGAAAGCCAUUAAGGACAGGACCAGGGCGUUGAGGAUGCCCAUGAUGGCCAACAUGUAGGCCCAGCGGACAGAGCAGUCACCCAGAGAGUACUUCCCCGUAUGCUCCCCGCACAUGUCCCGGAUGACUUCGGCGUCCCAUCCAUCAGGGAAUAUCAUGCAGCCCAGGACCAGGCAUACUCCUGCAUGAGGACAAGGAGGAUGAGGAGAGGGGGUUAGAGGAGGAAGGGAAGAGAGAAGGCCUAUCGGAGGUGGGAACCGACAGUAUGAAGGAACAUGAACCAGGGAGCAUAAAUGAUGAUGGCAACAAAUUUGGAGAAAACACGAGCUUCUGGCAUUCAAAACUUUCCAUUUGAUCUCAAUGAGUAAGGUGCAUUUUUUUUGCAGUUGUUUUCAUGAACUAAAUUUCCAUCUUAUGUUAGUCAAUUCACAGCGUUAGCAAUGAUAACACAUGAUUUUAUGAUAACAACUAUGACAACACAUUUUGCUAGCAUCAAAGUUAACGCCAGCUAUCUGCAGUAGCUCUUAAAUAACAUGACUAACGUGAUUUUUUUUUCCCCCCCACUUUUGUUUUUUUUUGUACACAAGUAUCAGUUCUUCUCCUUAAGUACAUAAUUUGAUUACUUAGCCAGCUCUGAACACAGAUAAUUUUAGGUAUUCAGAUUAGUAGCGUGGUGUCUAAUUUUCAAAAAAUAACUCUUAAAACGCAGUAUUCACAACAGAUUUCACUUUGUGAAUUCCUUUGUGUUUGUGUGAAGUGUUGUUUUGUAUGUCUAACAUUUACCAGUCUUUGAGCAUCGCUCACAUGCUAUUUGUACAUAAGCAGUAUGUAAAAUGGAUGGAUGUAAUGACAACUUCCUUGUGUGUUGUGUUGUCAAAAACUGUACUGCCACGAAAGGGCCAUUGGUAGUGUAGUGGUUCACAUAGCUGAUCGUUGUGCAAGCUGGCGUGACUGAGCAGGAGAAGCGAUAUAGAAUAUGGAUGAGUAGAUGUACUCAAAGGAAAAACAUGAAAACGUAACUGACUUAUUCAGGUUAAGUUGGCCUUGGUACUCUUAAACGUAAUAUAGCUGCAGUGCUUUGGAGUGAUACUUACUGCUCAGUGGGCUGUAGGAACAUUCUGCUACUAAUGUUCACAACAUUUCUGUGUUAGUCAGCCUAAAUGCUGCUGAGGUGCAAUAUGCAUUAGAAUGUCAUUAUGGAGGGCAAACAAAUAAAGUACAACAAUAACCAUGUCA